rnacentral:rRNA from 1 species
AUUGAACGCUGGCGGCAGACCUAACACAUGCAAGUCGAGCGAGCGGCGGACGGGUGAGUAAUGUCUGGGAAACUGCCUGAUGGAGGGGGAUAACUACUGGAAACGGUAGCUAAUACCGCAUACCAUCAAAUGUGCCCAGAUGGGGUUGGCUAGUAGGUGGGGUAACGUCCCACCUCGGCGACGAUCCCUAGCUGGGCUGAGAGGAUGACCAGCCACACGGGAACUGAGCCACGGUCUAGACUCCUACGGGAGGCAGCAGUGGGGAAUAUUGCACAAUGGGCUCAAGCCUGAUGCAGCCAUGCCGCGUGUUUGAGGAAGGCCUUCGGGUUGUAAAGCACUUUCAGCGGGGAGGCGUUACCCGCAGAAGAAGCACCGGCUAACUCCGUGCCAGCAGCCGCGGUAAUUC